rnacentral:rRNA from 1 species
CCGUGGAGAGAUCACUAGCGAGAAUGAUGACAUGAGUAGCGACAAAGAGUGUGAGAGACACUCUCGCCGAAAGUCCAAGGGUUCCUGCUUAAAGCUAAUCUGAGCAGGGUAAGCCGGCCCCUAAGCCGAGGCCGAAAGGCGUAGGCGAUGGGAACCAGGUUAAUAUUCCUGGGCCAGGAGGAUGUGACGGAUUGCGAAGGUAGUUUGCUCUUAUCGGAUUGAGCAGGCUGCUGAGCAGUCCCUGGAAAUAGCCCUCCAUCAGACCGUACCCUAAACCGACACAGGUGGACUGGUAGAGAAUACCAAGGCGCUUGAGAGAACGAUGUUGAAGGAACUCGGCAAAAUACCUCCGUAAGUUCGCGAGAAGGAGGCCCGGGUCCUACGCAAGUGGAAUCCGGGGGCACAAACCAGGGGGUGGCGACUGUUUAUUAAAAACACAGGGCUCUGCGAAGUCGCAAGACGACGUAUAGGGUCUGACGCCUGCCCGGUGCCUGAAGGUUAAAAGGAGGGGUGAGAGCUCCGAAUUGAAGCCCAGGUAAACGGCGGCCGUAACAAUAA